CUCGCAGCUGGAGCAAGUUUAUUGGUGUCAUGAAGCUUUGCGCACGCACAUUUCUGUCGAAAUAGAUGCCCGAUAAGUGCCCAAAAAGCGUUGAAAUAUGGCC